UUCACGGUCACUUAUACGGACCGUAUAAUAUGUCGUCAAAUUGACACAGAAAAGGGUGGUCGCUGAAUCAGUUUCAGGGUCACUUAUACGGACCGUAUAAGUGUCCGUAUAAUGAUGUCGAGACAGAUUUUAAUUUAUAAAAGAAUAUCCCAAGUUCAUUAAUUUCAUUUCAUUUUUCAUUCUCCACAACUCAAGAAUUCUCUAGAACCUUCCACACACUCCAUAUACAAGAACUCAUGAGAAAUUGAUGAUCAACUUCAUCAAAUCAACAAAACUAAGUGUGAGAAACACAUCAAAGUUCAUCCAAGUCAAGAAAUUUCAAUGGAAGUGAACUAGGGUUUUGGUGCAAGAGAGAUAUUUCAACUCAAGGCUUAUUUCUACACCAUCUAAGGUAAGUUUUAUGGUAUUUACAUGUUAUUUAAGGUGUUGAAAAGUUGAAACACUUGGAUUGUGGAAGGGUAUAGGAAAUGGGUCAUGAAAGUGGGAAUAGUGUCAUUUUUGAGUAGUAGCUUGGAAUGAAUCAUGAAUAUUGAUAUGUUGAGAUUGUAACUACGUUAUGAAUGAUGUCAAGAGCAGGAUAGAAACAUUAGAUGAGAAUGAAUGUAAAGUUGUGCUAUGGUCAUGAUUAUGGAUGACCUUGAGAGAAAAUUGUGGAGAUUGGAUAAUGAUGAAUUUGAUAAAAGUUAUUGAUGAUGAUAUUAUGAAUGUUGUUAUUGACGUUUGGGAGUUGAUAUAUGAUAUGGAGAAAGUAGCAUAAAUAAAGGAGAUGCUGCUCAAAUUUCUCUAGCUUAGUCCAAACGCGCUUAUGUUAUUGAUUAUCUAAUAUGAAUAUGAACUUUCUUGAAGGUAGAAACGCGAGCAACGAAGAAGAACGAUCAAACGAUAGAAUAGCUAAACGAAAGAGGUAUGUAAGGCUAAUCCUUUCCUUCUAAGGCAUGAAUCUUCCUUAUUUUCCACAAUCUUCCUAAAUAACGGAAAUUAUGAGUCCAUGACUAUAAGAAGCCAUCUACGCACAUGAUAAAGAAAGGAGAUAUGAUACGAGCACGAUAAUGAUGAUGAUAAAUAUAAGUAUGAAGAAUCGUAGAGUAAUAUAAGAGGUCCAUGAAGCUAAUGAUCCUAAGUAUAGUUUCAUUAAUGAUUUUCCUUGUGUACACUCACCUUAAAAUGCUAGUUCCUCCAAGGUGAGACAUGAUGAUCAUGAUCACUCCAUAACGUAGUCGGGGGGUUCACGACCUUAUGUCACCUCGACAUAGCCAUGAUUACCUCCAAGUUCUAAUGUAGGAUUAAUGAUGAAUAUAUGAUGAUGUUAGGUUAUGAUAAGAUUAUGAUAUGCCUAUGAGAUGUGUAAUAUGAUGAGUUUAUGAUUGAUUGUAUGACGAUACGAUUCUACCGUGCCUAGUUGGCCGGGCAUGUCACCGCGAAGGCGGGCUGCAUACGAUUCCACCGUGCCUAAAUGGCCAGGCAUGUCACCGCUAAGGCGGGCUGCGAUGUUUACACCGAGCCUAGAGGGCCGGGCAUGAUCACCACUAGUGGGCGGCAUAUGAUGGUUACCCGGACGUGGGUUGACGAUGAUGAUUUAUGUGAUACGAUGAUGUAUGCGCUAUGAUGAUACAUGUACUUUAAUUAUAGAUAUGAUAUAUGUAUGAAAUGUAUCCACUUUUAAGAGUUACGCAGGUUGUAUCUUCACCUUAUGACUUAUGAUUUCUCUAUCAUGUUCAUUUCAUUCAUGCCUUACAUACUCAGUACAAUGUUCCUACUGACGUCCGUUUUCUUUGGACGAUGUGUUCAUGCCCACAGGUAGACAGGGAGGUGAUCCAGACUCGUAGAAGUUAUCAGCAGAUUUACAGGAGCACUCCAUUACUCCGGAGGCUCUUGUGUUUUCCCAAAUGAGUCUCCCACCCAAGGUUUGGCUGAUUCGAUUUCCCCCCAUUUUGGCUGGUUCUCACUGGACUGAUCCUCCUCCACAGUUGUACUGUUGCUGUCUCUGGCUUUGUUCUAAAUUCAGGAUGCACCACCCAACAACCUUAUAAAUCAUGCCCCUGCAAUCUACAAUUAGUGCAAUAUUUAGGGAGACAGUCAUAUUGUAUUAUUUGCCAUUUAGACUUUAUAUCUCCAGUCUCCUCAUCUACACAACUAAUAUGUAUUCUCUUUGGUAAUUCUCUUAAUAAAUCAACUUGUACUUUCACCCGAGCACAACUUGGUCGUGUCCUAUUACUUGUUGCUUUGUCAAUGACCAAAGGUGUGCCAACUGCAUGUGCCAUUGAGAAUAUUGCUUCCUUAUUAAACAGGUUUGUAGGUAAACCAGGAAAAGAUAUCCAUGCCACAGAGAUCGUAGUCUCCUCCUCCGGAUUAAACCAAGGAUCCCAAACUAAAAAUCUUAGAGGAUAUAUUCUUCCCCUGAAUUGUAAUUCCCACGCACUUGAUGUGAGAGCAGCAUAGUCUUCAAGUCUAGAUAAUCAGAUUAGAAUGUGUAUCUCUUCUAAAAAACCAAUGUCACAGGGACCUUUAAUCUCCAAUUGAAUAGGAAUAAUCGUUUUCAAUUCUUUCAAAUCUGGCCGUCCAUAUGAAAACUUAGCAAUCACCGCAUAUUUCAAUUUUUGACGCUUCGUGAACUCCUCAAACUCUUUCUUUGUCCACGCAAUAGUCGGUUCACCAUGCAAAUAGGUGAUAGGUUUAAUGGGUACAUCUUCCUCUUGUGUGACUGGUUGUAGUGCAGUAACAUAAUUGAGUUUUGGGUUAUUGGUUGUGAUGUUGGGGGGAUUGGUAGGAGGCAAAC